rnacentral:rRNA from 1 species
CCUACGGGUGGCAGCAGUGAGGAAUAUUGGUCAAUGGCCGGAAGGCUGAACCAGCCAUGCCGCGUGAUGGUCAGUGCCCUAUGGGCGUUAAACUUCUUUUGUGCGGGAGCAAUAAUGGUCACGUGUGGCCAGACGAGAGUACCGUACGAAUAAGCAUCGGCUAACUCCGUGCCAGCAGCCGCGGUAAUACGGGGGGUGCAAGCGUUAUCCGGAUUUAUUGGGUUUAAAGGGUGCGUAGGCUGUGUGGUAGGUCAGCGGGGGAAUGCCCCCGCUCAACGGGGUGAAGUGCCAUUGAUACUGCCUUGCUGGAGUGCGGAAGACGUGGGAAGAAUGUUAGGUGUAGCGGUGAAAUGCGGAGAGAUCA